GAAAAGAGGUAUGCGGGGGCUGUGAUGGUUUCUCCUGAGCAGGAACUCUGGAAAGCAGCCCUGCCACACAUCUCUAGGAACAACAGGCACUACAGUAUGUCUUAAAAAGAGCACAUGCAGGAAUCCAAGCUGCCUACACUGAGAUGGAGACAAAGACGAACAACAUCCUUACCACCCCAAAGACUUGGUUUGGAUAUGCCGCCACCGCGUGAAAAACUUGAAGUCUCAUUGAAAGGGACCAUUUACUGUCAUCCUAUAGAGGGCCUGAGGGAUUCCAACAUCUUGCUACAGAAAUAAAAUGGACAAAACCUGCGGUUCCCAUCCUAA